rnacentral:rRNA from 1 species
AGCGUACACGGUGGAUGCCCUGGCAGUCAGAGGCGAUGAAGGACGUGCUAAUCUGCGAUAAGCGUCGGUAAGGUGAUAUGAACCGUUAUAACCGGCGAUUUCCGAAUGGGGAAACCCAGUGUGAUUCGUCACACUAUCAUUAACUGAAUCCAUAGGUUAAUGAGGCGAACCGGGGGAACUGAAACAUCUAAGUACCCCGAGGAAAAGAAAUCAACCGAGAUUCCCCCAGUAGCGGCGAGCGAACGGGGAGCAGCCCAGAGCCUGAAUCAGUGUGUGUGUUAGUGGAAGCGUCUGGAAAGGCGCGCGAUACAGGGUGACAGCCCCGUACACAAAAAUGCACAUACUGUGAGCUCGAUGAGUAGGGCGGGACACGUGGUAUCCUGUCUGAAUAUGGGGGGACCAUCCUCCAAGGCUAAAUACUCCUGACUGACCGAUAGUGAACCAGUACCGUGAGGGAAAGGCGAAAAGAACCCCGGCGAGGGGAGUGAAAAAGAACCUGAAACCGUGUACGUACAAGCAGUGGGAGCCUCUUUAUGGGGUGACUGCGUACCUUUUGUAUAAUGGGUCAGCGACUUAUAUUCUGUAGCAAGGUUAACCGAAUAGGGGAGCCGAAGGGAAACCGAGUCUUAACUGGGCGUUAAGUUGCAGGGUAUAGACCCGAAACCCGGUGAUCUAGCCAUGGGCAGGUUGAAGGUUGGGUAACACUAACUGGAGGACCGAACCGACUAAUGUUGAAAAAUUAGCGGAUGACUUGUGGCUGGGGGUGAAAGGCCAAUCAAACCGGGAGAUAGCUGGUUCUCCCCGAAAGCUAUUUAGGUAGCGCCUCGUGAAUUCAUCUCCGGGGGUAGAGCACUGUUUCGGCAAGGGGGUCAUCCCGACUUACCAACCCGAUGCAAACUGCGAAUACCGGAGAAUGUUAUCACGGGAGACACACGGCGGGUGCUAACGUCCGUCGUGAAGAGGGAAACAACCCAGACCGCCAGCUAAGGUCCCAAAGUCAUGGUUAAGUGGGAAACGAUGUGGGAAGGCCCAGACAGCCAGGAUGUUGGCUUAGAAGCAGCCAUCAUUUAAAGAAAGCGUAAUAGCUCACUGGUCGAGUCGGCCUGCGCGGAAGAUGUAACGGGGCUAAACCAUGCACCGAAGCUGCGGCAGCGACACUAUGUGUUGUUGGGUAGGGGAGCGUUCUGUAAGCCUGUGAAGGUGUGCUGUGAGGUAUGCUGGAGGUAUCAGAAGUGCGAAUGCUGACAUAAGUAACGAUAAAGCGGGUGAAAAGCCCGCUCGCCGGAAGACCAAGGGUUCCUGUCCAACGUUAAUCGGGGCAGGGUGAGUCGACCCCUAAGGCGAGGCCGAAAGGCGUAGUCGAUGGGAAACAGGUUAAUAUUCCUGUACUUGGUGUUACUGCGAAGGGGGGACGGAGAAGGCUAUGUUGGCCGGGCGACGGUUGUCCCGGUUUAAGCGUGUAGGCUGGUUUUCCAGGCAAAUCCGGAAAAUCAAGGCUGAGGCGUGAUGACGAGGCACUACGGUGCUGAAGCAACAAAUGCCCUGCUUCCAGGAAAAGCCUCUAAGCAUCAGGUAACAUCAAAUCGUACCCCAAACCGACACAGGUGGUCAGGUAGAGAAUACCAAGGCGCUUGAGAGAACUCGGGUGAAGGAACUAGGCAAAAUGGUGCCGUAACUUCGGGAGAAGGCACGCUGAUAUGUAGGUGAAGUCCCUUGCGGAUGGAGCUGAAAUCAGUCGAAGAUACCAGCUGGCUGCAACUGUUUAUUAAAAACACAGCACUGUGCAAACACGAAAGUGGACGUAUACGGUGUGACGCCUGCCCGGUGCCGGAAGGUUAAUUGAUGGGGUUAGCGGUAACGCGAAGCUCUUGAUCGAAGCCCCGGUAAACGGCGGCCGUAACUAUAACGGUCCUAAGGUAGCGAAAUUCCUUGUCGGGUAAGUUCCGACCUGCACGAAUGGCGUAAUGAUGGCCAGGCUGUCUCCACCCGAGACUCAGUGAAAUUGAACUCGCUGUGAAGAUGCAGUGUACCCGCGGCAAGACGGAAAGACCCCGUGAACCUUUACUAUAGCUUGACACUGAACAUUGAGCCUUGAUGUGUAGGAUAGGUGGGAGGCUUUGAAGUGUGGACGCCAGUCUGCAUGGAGCCGACCUUGAAAUACCACCCUUUAAUGUUUGAUGUUCUAACGUUGACCCGUAAUCCGGGUUGCGGACAGUGUCUGGUGGGUAGUUUGACUGGGGCGGUCUCCUCCUAAAGAGUAACGGAGGAGCACGAAGGUUGGCUAAUCCUGGUCGGACAUCAGGAGGUUAGUGCAAUGGCAUAAGCCAGCUUGACUGCGAGCGUGACGGCGCGAGCAGGUGCGAAAGCAGGUCAUAGUGAUCCGGUGGUUCUGAAUGGAAGGGCCAUCGCUCAACGGAUAAAAGGUACUCCGGGGAUAACAGGCUGAUACCGCCCAAGAGUUCAUAUCGACGGCGGUGUUUGGCACCUCGAUGUCGGCUCAUCACAUCCUGGGGCUGAAGUAGGUCCCAAGGGUAUGGCUGUUCGCCAUUUAAAGUGGUACGCGAGCUGGGUUUAGAACGUCGUGAGACAGUUCGGUCCCUAUCUGCCGUGGGCGCUGGAGAACUGAGGGGGGCUGCUCCUAGUACGAGAGGACCGGAGUGGACGCAUCACUGGUGUUCGGGUUGUCAUGCCAAUGGCACUGCCCGGUAGCUAAAUGCGGAAGAGAUAAGUGCUGAAAGCAUCUAAGCACGAAACUUGCCCCGAGAUGAGUUCUCCCUGACUCCUUGA